rnacentral:misc_RNA from 1 species
UUUCCGUAGGUGAACCUGCGGAAGGAUCAUUGUCGAAACCUGCCCAGCAGAACGACCCGCGAACUUGUAUAAACAACCGGGGGCGGGGGGCGUUCGCGCCCCGUGCCCCCGAACGGCGGGGAGACACUCGUGCCUUCUUGCCGAACAACGAACCCCGGCGCGGUCUGCGCCAAGGAACUUCAACUAAAGAGUGCCUCCGGUCGCCUCGGAAACGGCGUGCGUGCCGGGGGCGAAUCUUGUGCAAAACCAUAACGACUCUCGGCAACGGAUAUCUCGGCUCUC